rnacentral:rRNA from 1 species
AUGGCGGCGGUGCCGCGGCACUUGGGACCCGAUCGUCGAGUGGAACAAGUGGAAGAUGCCACCAAUGCGGCGGCGGCGGAAGAACUUGGGGGAGACGACGAGGAGAUCCUGCGGUUCAUGGACUCGGCGGAUGGCUACCUCCUCCUCAUGGAUUCGCUUUCCGCCGCUCUUCGCCAGGGUUGGCUUGAUCUGGCAAGUGCUCGUCACUCGAUGGGCGCAUCACGUGUUUCGAGUGUGCUGUUCGAUCAUAAGGAGCAAUCUGCAGCCACUAGGCUGCAAGUGGAUUAUUCUGCAGAUUUGCGACCAUCAGAAUCAAAGCCUCAUUUUGCUCUGUCAAAGUGGUGCUUGCAAGAAGAAUCAAACUCCAGUGAUGUUGUCAGUGCACAAGAUAGUACUAAACCAAAACUAAGGUACCGAGGAUCAGAAGCUACCUCAGAUGGUAGCAAUGAAUCAGAUGCAACUACUGCAAAAUCUUCUACGGGCGUUGACAUUUGCAGCCAGGUUCAAACUGCAAGAUCAAAAGCAUUAUCAAUGUUCAGCGCAUUGGUGUCUCCAAAACUACGAACAACCCAAGUUUCCUUUGAAUCAGCACUUGAACAAAUUGUGGAGCUAGCGAAUUCAAGAUCAACCAUGCUCUCUAGCUUCUCACAGAUAAAGCGCAGAUCAUGA